GACGAACGCUGGCGGCGUGCCUAAUACAUGCAAGUAGGACGCAGUUGCGAACGGGUGAGUAACGCGUAGGUAACUACCUAUUAGAGGGGGAUAACUAUUGGGAACGAUAGCUAAUACCGCAUACUAGUAGAUGGACGUGCGUGGUAUUAGGUAGUAGGUCGGGUAAUGGCCUACCUAGGCAACGAUACAUAGCCGAGCCGGGAGGGUGAUCGGCCACAAUGGGACUGCGACAAGGCCCAGGAUUCUACCGGAAGCAGCAGUAGGGAAUCUUCGGCAAUGGGGCGAACGCUGGCCGAGCAACGGCGGCUUGGUUAAGAAAGUUUUCGGAUCGUAAAGCUCUGUUGUUAAGGGAGCGGUACUUAACCAGAAAGGGACGGCUAACUACGUGCCAGCAGCCGCGGUAAUAC
rnacentral:rRNA from 1 species